GGUCCUAUAGCUCAAUAGGUUAGAGCAUUGGUCUUAUGAGCCGAAGGUUGCGGGUUCAAGCCUCGUUGAGACCA